GGGGUUAUGGCUCAGUGGUAGAGCACAUGCCCCACAUGAGUGAGGCACCAGGUUCGAUCCUUAGCACCA
rnacentral:tRNA from 1 species